CUGAACUAAUUUGAAGAUUCAGCGAUUUUUCCGUUCCCAAGAAAAGCUUUACUUUACAGUCACCAGUUGGCAGCCAUUUUAAUUCUUUCUGCCAACAGUUUCGUAUCUCUGUUUACUUCAACGAUACUUGACUUAGUUGAUACGCAAAAACGAUUUAAAAUUUAUACAUUCUGCGCAACUUUGGAACGUUAAAAUUGAAUUAUAAUUAAAAUGGCAACAUUUUAAAACUUCUGUGAUGGGUUUUAAGGUUAGCUCUGUGAAUAAUCGCUUUCUUAAAAAGCCAUCUGGUGUCCAUAUUCUGAAGGUACGAUUUACGAACGAAGUGCAAAAGCGACUAUUUUUCCCGAAUCCAUGGCCGUCAAAGUCAAGAAGGCUGUCCCGUUCGACCAAAGUGCUAGUCGAAGCUAACUGACCUACUAAAGAAAGCCACAUAAAUGGCGUUAUACACGACUGUAUCGCAAUAUCAGCUGCCGAAACUCCAACGAGAAUAUUAUCCAUCUCUUUGCUGUGUAUCACAUGGUAGUGGUAGUAGUAUACGCACGUACAUAUCCUCUCCGAAAGGAAGCCCGAGCUCAUCUUCAUUUAUCUCUUUGUUGCCCUUUCAUUGCAGAUCCUUUUUUUUCCUUAAAAAAAGGGAAAAAAAAAGAAGUGGUAAUUCAAUACACGUCGUAGAGAUACAUCAGCUGCAUCACCCUAGUCCCAAUCAGCAAAAAUAACAAGAAUAAUUUAUCGAACCCAACAUUUCAUUUAUCUGCGUAACACGCCCCGUUUUCUUCUUAUUUUCGAUUCGUCGAUUAACAUCCGAAUAAUAACAACUAGAAAAACCCGUUAGUUGUUUUCUUGUUCGGGGAAAAAAAAUGAAUUAAAACAAAAAAUGUAUUACAAUGUCACCAUCUCGCCUACCA